GACGAACGCUGGCGGCGCGCCUAACACAUGCAAGUCGAGCGAGAACCGGAGCUUCGGCUCCGGGGACAGCGGCGAACGGGUGAGUAACACGUGGAUAACCUGCCCUCGGCACCGGAAUAGCCCGGGGAAACCCGGAUUAAUGCCGGAUAGCCCCACAUCCCUGCGGGGAACGUGGGAAAAGGUAGCUUCGGCCUCUGGCCGAGGAUGGGUCCGCGGUGGAUUAGCUUGUUGGUGCGGGUAAUGGCCCACCAAGGCGACGAUCCAUAGCUGGUCUGAGAGGACGAUCAGCCACACUGGGACUGAGACACGGCCCAGACUCCUACGGGAGGCAGCAGUGGGGAAUCUUGCGCAAUGGGCGAAAGCCUGACGCAGCGACGCCGCGUGCGGGAAGAAGGCUUUCGGGUUGUAAACCGCUUUCAGGAGGGACGAAGCCACUCGGGUGAAUAGCCCAGAGGGUGACGGUACCUCCAGAAGAAGCCCCGGCUAACUUCGUGCCAGCCGCCGCCGUAACAC
rnacentral:rRNA from 1 species